rnacentral:pre_miRNA from 1 species
GGCAACCCUUCCUGCAGCCGUCGAGGGGGCUGGGAACCCUGUCCGGAGGGAUCUCAGCCCCCUCGGUGGCUACAGGCAGGGAUGCA